UUGAAACGCUGGUUUCCAUACGAUCACUAAAGUUAAGCAACAUCAAGCCUGGUUAGUACUUAGAUGGGUGACUGUUUGGGAAUACCAGAUGCUGUAA